ACCUGCUCGGUUGAGGGCUUCAUCUAAAGUAACCGUGUCUUCCUCAGAAACACCCAUUUUUAACAAGACUAUUAAUCUACCUAAAAUGUUUUUUCUCGACUUCUCGGUCCUGUGUCUGAGAGGUCUCUAACACACAACUCAUACGCAACACUAAAAACGUAUCGUUAAUCGGUUCAGGAUGAUAUCAAUAAGUGUACGACUCUCUACACGUUUG
rnacentral:misc_RNA from 1 species